GACGAACGCUGGCGGCGUGCCUAAUACAUGCAAGUAGGACGCAGUUGCGAACGGGUGAGUAACGCGUAGGUAACUACCUAUUAGAGGGGGAUAACUAUUGGAAACGAUAGCUAAUACCGCAUACUAGUAGAUGGACCUGCGUUGUAUUAGCUAGCAGGUAGGGUAAUGGCCUACCUAGGCAACGAUACAUAGCCGACCUGAGUGAGUGAACGGCGACAGUGGAACUGGGAGACGGCCCAGACUCCUACGAGAGGAAGCAGAAGGGAAGCUUCGGCAAUGGGGGGAACCCUGACCGAGGAACGCCGCGUGAGUGAAGAAGGUUUUCGGAUCGUAAAGCGCUGUUGGUGAGGAAGCGGUACUUAACCAGUAAGGGACGGCUAACUACGUGCCAGCAGCCGCGGUAAUUC
rnacentral:rRNA from 1 species